CCCUUAGAUGUUCUGGGCCGCACGCGCGCUACACUGAUGCAUUCAACGAGUUUCUUCCUGGUCCGAGAGGAAUGGGUAACCUUUUGAAAGUGCAUCGUGAUAGGGAUAGACUAUUGCAAUUAUUAGUCUUGAACGAGGAAUUCCUAGUAAGCACAAGUCAUCAGCUUGUGUUGAUUACGUCCCUGCCCUUUGUACACACCGCCCGUCGCUCCUACCGAUUGAAUGUUCCGGUGAGCUCUUCGGACUGCGCGGUCUGCAGUUUCUACGUUCCGUGCGGAAAGUUGCGCAAACCUUAACAUUUAGAGGAAGGAGAAGUCGUAACA
rnacentral:rRNA from 1 species